rnacentral:rRNA from 1 species
GAUGGGCAUGCGUGCCAUUAGUUAGUUGGCGGGGUAACGGCCCACCAAGACGAUGAUGGUUAGGGGGUCUAAAAGGAUGAUCCCCCACACUGGUACUGAGACACGGACCAGACUCCUACGGGAGGCAGCAGUGAGGAAUAUUGGUCAAUGGGCGAGAGCCUGAACCAGCCAUGCCGCGUGCAGGAAGACGGCCCUAUGGGUUGUAAACUGCUUUUUUAUGGGAAGAAAAGGCUUUACGUGUAAGGCACUGACGGUACCAUAUGAAUAAGCAUCGGCUAACUCCGUGCCAGCAGCCGCGGUAAUACGGAGGAUGCGAGCGUUAUCCGGAUUUAUUAGGUUUAAAGGGUGCGUAGGCGGAAGACUAAGUCAGUGGUGAAAUCUCACAGCUUAACUGUGAAACUGCCAUAGAUACUGGUUUUCUUGAGUACAGUUGAAGUAGGCGGAAUGUGUAAUGUAGCGGUGAAAUGCUUAGAUAUUACACAGAACACCGAUUGCGAAGGCAGCUUGCUAAGCUGUUACUGACGCUGAUGCACGAAAGCGUGGGUAGCGAAUGGGAUUAGAU